CAGCCGCCACGGUAAAACGGAGGAUCCAAGCGUUAUCCGGAAUCAUUGGGUUUAAAGGGUGCGUAGGCGGUCUUGUAAGUCAGUGGUGAAAGCCCAUCGCUCAACGGUGGAACGGCCAUUGAUACUGCAGGACUUGAAUUAGUGGGAGGUAACUAGAAUAUGUAGUGUAGCAGUGAAAUGCUUAGAGAUUACAUGGAAUACCAAUUGCGAAGGCAGGUUACUACCAAUUGAUUGACGCUGAUGGACGAAAGCGUGGGUAGCGAACAGGAUUAGAUACCCCCGUAGUCCCUGUCUCUUAUAC
rnacentral:rRNA from 1 species